CUUCUUCAUCUUCAACUCCAUUCAUUUCUCCUAACCUCAUCUUCUCAGAUCUCUCAUUUUUCUUAGAUCUCUUCUUUGUUUUUUCUCUUUUUGCCAUUUUUUCUUGAGAUUGUUGUAGAUCGACCGGUGAUCUAUCUGUAGACCAUGGCUUCAUCGUUUUUCGAUUGGUAUAGUAGAAGUCGUUUCUUUUCAUCGAUGGAGAUCCGGUUGAUCUGAUUCAGGCCAUGAUAGAUCUGCAGACAUAGUUCAAAGAUGUGAUUCUCUACAAGACUUUAGGUCUUCAAGGGAGUCGCGAGAGCGAAUUGGAAUUUUGCUGCCGGAACGAAGUCUGAGCGGCGGAGUACUUCCGAAUCACUGAUGUUCGAUGGUGAAGAUUGUUAAUCAGAUAUUCAGCUGCAUGUAUGAUAGUUUAAUGUUAUGCGUGCAUCUGUAUGAGAAUGAAAUCAAAGGUAAACGAGAGCGGAGUGAAAAAAGGUGUCGAUGUUUAGUCGACCUUUGCCAUGACGGGUGCGCUCUCAUGGCAGGUCAAAAAAGAUAAUAAAAUUUAUGUUUCUUGUUUUGGAGGGGAGGUGGUACGUGGUUUGCCCGGCUCCUCCUCUCCUGUGCGUUGCGUCCUUUUUGCCUACCCGCCUUUCACAGAUCUCGACUUGAGCUGCGAUUAUCAUGAUUCUUGUCCGAUCUAAUAAGGGCAAGCAUCUCACUACACAAUCGUAAACACCACCAGCAAAGCUUAACAGUUUGAUCAAUUCAAUACGGCAACAUCAGUAGAGGUAUAACCGUCAAUUUCUUCAUCUAAUUCCUAUCAAUUUAACGCUAUUAAAUCCCUUUUUCUAUGAUUAUGAUUAUACAUAUCUCUCAGAACGCAUUAAAUCCCUUUUUCUAGGAGUAUACAUAUCUCAGAUUCUUAGAACGCUCGUUUCCUGUUAAUAGUCUAACACGAUAUCUAUUUUGUUUUAUGAUUUUAUGAGGUAAUCUUUAUAUACAAUAAUUCAAUUGAAUAUUUGAAUUAUAUUUCCAUUUUAUGAAAAUUUCAUGUUUGUCAAUUCUAAUUUUAGUUUAUAAUACUUGUAAUUUAAUGUGUAUUUAUACUCUUGUAUUUCCACAAUUUCCCAUGCUCUUAGUUAUAGCAGUAAUCGAUGUAUGUUUGGCUAUUGGCUUUUUUAUCAUAGUAAUGCUUCUAUACCAUAAGACACACCGAGUCACUGGUCUAUCUCCUUUGUCAUCAACGCAAGGACUAUAUCUGGAUGUAACAACAACCGCAACCACUUCUGGAGAUCUAUUUGAAUAUGAAUCUGCGGUGAUAUGAUUAUUGGUAAAUUGUUUCUGUUUGAUUUGCUCAACGUUUUUAUUUUACUCGUAUAGUCGUAUUGGAGCAUUAUACCAUUUCCUGGUUUAUAGCUUUUUGAGAAUUCAUAAUAUCGAAUCGAAUGUAUCAAGAGUUUUUACUUUUAGUUAGUAUUUAUAAUCAGUUACUGUCACAUAGUUGUAAUUAUUUCUCUAUAAUUAUGCUGUUAUGAGUCUUAUAUAU